rnacentral:antisense_RNA from 1 species
GCCGACCGCUGGUCGGCUGCUUCUGGCUCCUGGUAGAGCCGACUGUUAGUCGGCUGCUUUUUGAAGAGCAGCCGACCAGCGGUCGGC